rnacentral:sRNA from 1 species
CUGCUCGAGUUCCAAUUUUCCAUCUUUUAUUUUG